rnacentral:rRNA from 1 species
AGAGUUUGAUCAUGGCUCAGAUUGAACGCUGGCGGCAGGCCUAACACAUGCAAGUCGAACGGUAACAGGAAACAGCUUGCUGUUUCGCUGACGAGUGGCGGACGGGUGAGUAAUGUCUGGGAAACUGCCUGAUGGAGGGGGAUAACUACUGGAAACGGUAGCUAAUACCGCAUAACGUCGCAAGACCAAAGAGGGGGACCUUCGGGCCUCUUGCCAUCGGAUGUGCCCAGAUGGGAUUAGCUUGUUGGUGGGGUAACGGCUCACCAAGGCGACGAUCCCUAGCUGGUCUGAGAGGAUGACCAGCCACACUGGAACUGAGACACGGUCCAGACUCCUACGGGAGGCAGCAGUGGGGAAUAUUGCACAAUGGGCGCAAGCCUGAUGCAGCCAUGCCGCGUGUAUGAAGAAGGCCUUCGGGUUGUAAAGUACUUUCAGCGGGGAGGAAGGGAGUAAAGUUAAUACCUUUGCUCAUUGACGUUACCCGCAGAAGAAGCACCGGCUAACUCCGUGCCAGCAGCCGCGGUAAUACGGAGGGUGCAAGCGUUAAUCGGAAUUACUGGGCGUAAAGCGCACGCAGGCGGUUUGUUAAGUCAGAUGUGAAAUCCCCGGGCUCAACCUGGGAACUGCAUCUGAUACUGGCAAGCUUGAGUCUCGUAGAGGGGGGUAGAAUUCCAGGUGUAGCGGUGAAAUGCGUAGAGAUCUGGAGGAAUACCGGUGGCGAAGGCGGCCCCCUGGACGAAGACUGACGCUCAGGUGCGAAAGCGUGGGGAGCAAACAGGAUUAGAUACCCUGGUAGUCCACGCCGUAAACGAUGUCGACUUGGAGGUUGUGCCCUUGAGGCGUGGCUUCCGGAGCUAACGCGUUAAGUCGACCGCCUGGGGAGUACGGCCGCAAGGUUAAAACUCAAAUGAAUUGACGGGGGCCCGCACAAGCGGUGGAGCAUGUGGUUUAAUUCGAUGCAACGCGAAGAACCUUACCUGGUCUUGACAUCCACGGAAGUUUUCAGAGAUGAGAAUGUGCCUUCGGGAACCGUGAGACAGGUGCUGCAUGGCUGUCGUCAGCUCGUGUUGUGAAAUGUUGGGUUAAGUCCCGCAACGAGCGCAACCCUUAUCCUUUGUUGCCAGCGGUCCGGCCGGGAACUCAAAGGAGACUGCCAGUGAUAAACUGGAGGAAGGUGGGGAUGACGUCAAGUCAUCAUGGCCCUUACGACCAGGGCUACACACGUGCUACAAUGGCGCAUACAAAGAGAAGCGACCUCGCGAGAGCAAGCGGACCUCAUAAAGUGCGUCGUAGUCCGGAUUGGAGUCUGCAACUCGACUCCAUGAAGUCGGAAUCGCUAGUAAUCGUGGAUCAGAAUGCCACGGUGAAUACGUUCCCGGGCCUUGUACACACCGCCCGUCACACCAUGGGAGUGGGUUGCAAAAGAAGUAGGUAGCUUAACCUUCGGGAGGGCGCUUACCACUUUGUGAUUCAUGACUGGGGUGAAGUCGUAACAAGGUAACCGUAGGGGAACCUGC